UACGAAGGGUGCAAGCGUUGUUCGGAAUUACUGGGCGUAAAGAGCGCGUAGGCGGUUUAUUAAGUCAGACGUGAAAGCCCUGGGCUCAACCCGGGAAUUGCGUUUGAUACUGGUAGGCUUGAGAUUCAGAGAGGUGAGUGGAAUUCCUAGUGUAGCAGUGAAAUGCGUAGAUAUUAGGAGGAACACCGGUGGCGAAGGCGGGUCUCUGGGCAGUAACUGACGCUGAGGAGCGAAAGCGUGGGGAGCGAACAGG
rnacentral:rRNA from 1 species